rnacentral:misc_RNA from 1 species
AACGGUCUAUACCUGCGGUACCUGCGGAAGGAUCAUUAACAAAUUAUCCAACUAUGGAUAAUUUUAUCCAUACCCACCUUGUGUGAAUCAGUGAAAUGUUAGUUGGCAGGUGAGUCGAUCGCGACAGAAGCGAGAGGGAUUUUCCCUCUCGGCCUGCCAAUUUUUAUUGUCUCGACACGUCUAUAUUUUUAUCGACUGAAAUAAAAUUAACAAAAUAAUAAAUACAACUUUCAACAACGG